GUACCUAACCAUUCAACAUUACAAGAGUCUCAUUCUAUUUCCGUACAACUUUGCAGAUCACUGGAUACUAAUUGUCAUAUUUCCGGACUUGAGCUUAGCAGUUGUUAUGGACUCUUUGCGGAGAGAUCCAGACCAAUACAAAGACAUGAGCGACAUGUUGAACAAGGUUUGGAAGAAAUUCGUUCGAAAGCAUAGUGGCAAUUUCAGCGCCGGACUAAAAUGGAAAAAAAACUUUCCGGUACGGAUGGGAUUCUACUUUAUUUGCAUGUUCCAU